GAAAAGUCUAAAGGAGUUGCUAGAGAAUGUGGGUCACUAUCUCUCGUGAUGAUACUCUCAUCCUCAACGGUGGUGGCGAUAAGAAGCAGAUCGAAGAAAGAUGUGAAGAGUUAAGAUCAGCAAAACGAGAAGAGCACAUCCACAUUUGAUAAAGAGAAAACGCAAGAACGACUCUCAAAACUAUCAGGUGCUGUUGCAGUUUUCAAGGUUAGUCAAUCACUCACCAAUCAUUUUUUUUUAACUCUUAACAAUCAUUUUUGAACUCUCUAA